UACGUAGGGUGCGAGCGUUAAUCGGAAUUACUGGGCGUAAAGCGUGCGCAGGCGGUUCGUUAAGUCAGCUGUGAAAGCCCCGGGCUCAACCUGGGAAUUGCGGUUGAAACUGGCGAACUAGAAUCUGGCAGAGGGGGGUGGAAUUCCACGUGUAGCAGUGAAAUGCGUAGAGAUGUGGAGGAACACCGAUGGCGAAGGCAGCCCCCUGGGCUGAGAUUGGCGCUCAGGCACGAAAGCGUGGGGAGCAAACAGG
rnacentral:rRNA from 1 species